GGAGAGUAUUAGAGGAGGUGGAGAGUAUUAUUAGAGAAGGUGGAGAGUAUUAGAGGAGGUGGAGAGUAUUAUUAGAGGAGGUGGAGAGUAUUAGAGGAGGUGGAGAGUAUUAGAGGAGGUGGAGAGUAUUAUUAGAGGAGGUGGAGAGUAUUAGAGGUGGAGAGUAUUAGAGGAGGGGGAGAGUAUUAUUAGAGGAGGUGGAGAGUAUUAUUAGAGGAGGGGAGAGUAUUAUUAGAGGAGGGGAGAGUAUUAUUAGAGGAGGGUGGAGAGUAUUAGAGGAGGAGGUGGAGAGUAUUAGAGGAGGAGGUGGAGAGUAUUAGAGGAGGUGGAGAGUAUUAUUAGAGGAGGUGGAG
rnacentral:lncRNA from 1 species